CUAAGGAUGAUCCUUCAGUCUAGCUUCGGCUAGCUAUCGGAUCGUUUUAGAAACAUCAGUGGCCAACGGUCGUCAGGAUCGUUGAGCUGCAUUGGCGGGAUUUCGCCGUCUUCGUUUCUCUUUCUUCGCGGACGAACACGCGCUGGGGCUGCAACCUUGCAGGAUCCCUGGUCCUUGACUGGAUAUGCGUUAGGGGCUUGUAGCUCAGUUGGUUAGAGCGCGCGCUUGAUAAGCGUGAGGUCGGAAGUUCAAGUCUUCCCAGGCCCACCACUUUCAUCGAGUGAGCAUUCGUCUUCUGGUUACGGGGCCAUAGCUCAGCUGGGAGAGCGCGUGCUUUGCAAGCAUGAGGUCGUCGGUUCGAUCCCGUCUGGCUCCACCAGAUGGUUUGAUCACCGACAACUCAACCGUCGUCCGCGAAACAUCACUUCGCACUUACUAGUCCGGAUGGACAGUGAGCUGCGGGAUUUCUGACAUCGUAAAGAGGAGAUCGAUCCGAGUUGGAUCGUGCAGAAGAUUUCUGCGCGAUACUUCAUUAUCUCCGGAUCAUUUCGGCGCUCGUGCGUCUUUCAGGGUAGCUCACAAGGCUGCGUUUGAGAGACAAACGAGUUGUAAAUGAUCCUUUUAGCGAAGCUUGACCGCCUCGCUAUCGGAACGAUCUUACGAAGCAAGCUGGUCUUUCUAAUCAUUGUCCGGCUGCAGAUAGCGUUCAUCGAGGGCGCGUGCCGCAAGGUAAUUCUGCAGACAACAUUCUGCCGAGUGUGUGGACAUUGAUAAUGAGAGC
rnacentral:tRNA from 1 species